AAUCCAGGCGGCGCUGAUGUCGCUUCUCUACAUGCAUACUUUGUAUCACUGAUUUUAACAUACACAACUAAAGAUAUUGUGAAAAUUUGUCGUCGCGUUUUUCAAUUGUUUCAAAAUUUAAAGAGACUGAAGAAAUAUGGCGCAUAGUGGGUGACAGUGGUGACAGAAUUUCCAGGUUCGUGAAUUCCAUUAUUAUAAUUAUUACUACUAUUAUUAUUACUAUUGCUAUUAUUAUUAUGACUAUUAUUAUUAUUUAAAAAGAUAUUUUUUAAAAUUUUUUCUACGUUUUUAAGUUUUUCAAUAACUUCUGUUGAUGAGAUGCAGCAACAGGAGGAGAAGGUAGAAAUUAAAAAGAGGAAGAAAAUAUGCAGCAUCAGGGGGUGUAUUAACGAAAACAACAGGAUGUUCUUCUUCCCCCAAGAGAGAAAGGAUAAGAAGAGGAUGGUACAGUGAGUGGAAGUAUGCGACAACCCAAAGUCUGUGCUUCCACCUGAAAACUGAAAUUCUGGGUGAUCUGUAGCAGCUACUUUAAAUAAAAGUACUUCAUGAGUAAAAGAUUAACAACAUCAGCAGUUCCAACACUGAACUUAUUUGAGGCUGUAAUAAAUAUUGCAUGUCAGAGGCCGCCUCUAUUAAAAUAGAGGAACAAGAUACCUGGAUGCAAAUGAAAAGAAGAAGAAGAUUGU